CUACCUUCCGCGUCCCCAAGUCAGGCGU
rnacentral:rRNA from 1 species